rnacentral:rRNA from 1 species
AAUAGAUACCCCGGUAGUCCACCCCGUAAACGUUGGGAACUAGUUGUGGGGUCCUUUCCACGGAUUCCGUGACGCAGCUAACGCAUUAAGUUCCCCGCCUGGGGAGUACGGCCGCAAGGCUAAAACUCAAAGGAAUUGACGGGGACCCGCACAAGCGGCGGAGCAUGCGGAUUAAUUCGAUGCAACGCGAAGAACCUUACCAAGGCUUGACAUACACCAGAACACCCUAGAAAUAGGGGACUCUUUGGACACUGGUGAACAGGUGGUGCAUGGUUGUCGUCAGCUCGUGUCGUGAGAUGUUGGGUUAAGUCCCGCAACGAGCGCAACCCUCGUUCUAUGUUGCCAGCACGUAAUGGUGGGAACUCAUGGGAUACUGCCGGGGUCAACUCGGGAGGAAGGUGGGGAUGACGUCAAAUCAUCAUGCCCCUUAUGUCUUGGGCUUCACGCAUGCUACAAUGGCCGGUACAAAGGGCUGCAAUACCGUGAGGUGGAGCGAAUCCCAAAAAGCCGGUCCCAGUUCGGAUUGAGGUCUGCAACUCGACCUCA